rnacentral:rRNA from 1 species
CCUACGGGAGGCAGCAGUGGGGAAUUUUGGACAAUGGGCGCAAGCCUGAUCCAGCAAUGCCGCGUGAGUGAAGAAGGCCUUCGGGUUGUAAAGCUCUUUUGUCAGGGAAGAAACGGUGAGGGCUAAUAUCUCUUGCUAAUGACGGUACCUGAAGAAUAAGCACCGGCUAACUACGUGCCAGCAGCCGCGGUAAUACGUAGGGUGCAAGCGUUAAUCGGAAUUACUGGGCGUAAAGCGUGCGCAGGCGGUUUUGUAAGUCUGUCGUGAAAUCCCCGGGCUCAACCUGGGAAUUGCGAUGGAGACUGCAAGGCUAGAAUCUGGCAGAGGGGGGUAGAAUUCCACGUGUAGCAGUGAAAUGCGUAGAGAUGUGGAGGAACACCGAUGGCGAAGGCAGCCCCCUGGGUCAAGAUUGACGCUCAUGCACGAAAGCGUGGGGAGCAAACAGGAUUAGAUACCCUGGUAGUCCACGCCCUAAACGAUGUCUACUAGUUGUCGGGUUUUAAUUAACUUGGUAACGCAGCUAACGCGUGAAGUAGACCGCCUGGGGAGUACGGUCGCAAGAUUAAAACUCAAAAGUAGUAAGUACGACGCGAGAGAGACGACGACGACGACGAGGAGGGAGGAGG